rnacentral:rRNA from 1 species
UUGACGGGGCCGCACAAGCGGCGGAGCAUGCGGAUUAAUUCGAUGCAACGCGAAGAACCUUACCAAGGCUUGACAUACACCGGUAACGCCCAGAGAUGGGUGCCCCUUUGUGGUCGGUGUACAGGUGGUGCAUGGUUGUCGUCAGCUCGUGUCGUGAGAUGUUGGGUUAAGUCCCGCAACGAGCGCAACCCUCGUCCUAUGUUGCCAGCGGGUCAUGCCGGGGACUCAUGGGAGACUGCCGGGGUCAACUCGGAGGAAGGUGGGGAUGACGUCAAAUCAUCAUGCCCCUUAUGUCUUGGGCUUCACGCAUGCUACAAUGGCCGGUACAAAGGGCUGCGAUACCGCGAGGUGGAGCGAAUCCCAGAAAGCCGGUCUCAGUUCGGAUUGGGGUCUGCAACUCGACCCCAUGAAGUCGGAGUCGCUAGUAAUCGCAGAUCAGCAACGCUGCGGUGAAUACGUUCCCGGGCCUU